rnacentral:rRNA from 1 species
AUUGAACGCUGGCGGCAUGCCUUACACAUGCAAGUCGAACGGUAACAGGUCUUCGGAUGCUGACGAGUGGCGAACGGGUGAGUAAUACAUCGGAACGUGCCCGAUCGUGGGGGAUAACGAAGCGAAAGCUUUGCUAAUACCGCAUAAGAUCUACGGAUGAAAGCAGGGGACCGCAAGGCCUUGCGCGAACGGAGCGGCCGAUGGCAGAUUAGGUAGUUGGUGGGAUAAAAGCUUACCAAGCCGACGAUCUGUAGCUGGUCUGAGAGGACGACCAGCCACACUGGGACUGAGACACGGCCCAGACUCCUACGGGAGGCAGCAGUGGGGAAUUUUGGACAAUGGGCGAAAGCCUGAUCCAGCCAUGCCGCGUGCAGGAUGAAGGCCUUCGGGUUGUAAACUGCUUUUGUACGGAACGAAAAGACUCUGGUUAAUACCUGGGGUCCAUGACGGUACCGUAAGAAUAAGCACCGGCUAACUAUGUG